UGUAAAAGGAGCUGCUGGAGGGGGCAAAUGUUCGUGCUGUGAUUUGUGUGGAAUAUUCGGAUGUGUUCUCAUACAUGGUUCACACGAUCUUACAAAAGACUGUACAUGCUGCCUGAGAUUCCUAAUAUAAAAUUAAUUCAUGAGGAAUUGGAUGGUGCUUGAUAUGCUUUUGUGACCAGGACCAUGUGCCUGAGUGAUGAAAAUAAAACAGCUGGCUUCAGGUAUGCCUAUCUUCCCCUCUUUAGAGAAAAGAUCAUUCUGAUCUUUUUCUAAACCUUGUUUAAUCCAAAAAUCAAAGUCAGAUUGCGUUGCAAAGGCUUGG